rnacentral:rRNA from 1 species
GUGGAUUAGAUACCCUGGUAGUCCACGCCCUAAACGAUGUCAACUAGCUGUUGGGGUUUAUUAACCUUAGUAGCGCAGCUAACGCGUGAAGUUGACCGCCUGGGGAGUACGGUCGCAAGAUUAAAACUCAAAGGAAUUGACGGGGACCCGCACAAGCGGUGGAUGAUGUGGAUUAAUUCGAUGCAACGCGAAAAACCUUACCUACCCUUGACAUGUCUGGAAGAUUCAAGAGAUUGAAUUGUGCUCGCAAGAGAACCGGAACACAGGUGCUGCAUGGCCGUCGUCAACU